CCAGAAAUGCUGACGAGGAGGGACAUUACAGAGUUAUCCAACUCCCAAACCCAUGUGAACUUAUCUCUUUGUUGCCUCGGCGCAAGCUACCCGGGACCUCGCGCCCCGGGGCGGCCCGCCGGCGGACAAACCAAAACUCUUGUUAUCUUAGUUGAUUAUCUGAGUGUCUUAUUUAAUAAGUCAAAACUUUCAACAACGGAUCUCUUGGUUCUGGCAUCGAUGAAGAACGCAGCGAAAUGCGAUAAGUAAUGUGAAUUGCAGAAUUCAGUGAAUCAUCGAAUCUUUGAACGCACAUUGCGCCCAUUAGUAUUCUAGUGGGCAUGCCUGUUCGAGCGUCAUUUCAACCCCUAAGCACAGCUUAUUGUUGGGAACCUACGGCUUCGUAGUUCCUCAAAGACAUUGGCGGAGUGGCAGUGGUCCUCUGAGCGUAGUAAUCUUUUAUCUCGCUUCUGUUAGGUGCUGCCCCCCCGGCCGUAAAACCCCCAAUUUUUUCUGGUUGACCUCGGAUCAGGUAGGAAUACCCGCUGAACUUAAGCAUAUCAAUAACCCGGAGCGCAA
rnacentral:rRNA from 2 species